rnacentral:rRNA from 1 species
AUUGAACGCUGGCGGCAGGCUUAACACAUGCAAGUCGAACGGUAACAGGCCGCUUGGUCCUGACGACUGGCGCACGGGUGUGUAAUGCAUCGAAACGUGCCCCGGCUAGGGGGGUAAAUCCUCGGAAGAGGGGCUAAUACCCCAUAUGAUCUAUGGAGGAAAAAGGGGGAGCGUUACGGAUCGCGCGAUUUGAGCGGCCGCUGUCGGAUUAUGUAGUUGGUGGGGUAAAGGCUCACCAAGGCAACGAUCUGUAGCUGGUCUGAGAGGAUGACCAGCCACACUGGGACUGAGACACGGCCCAGACUCCUACGGGAGGCAGCAGUGGGGAAUAUUGGACAAUGGGCGCAAGCCUGAUCCAGCAAUGCCGCGUGUGUGAAGAAGGUCUUCGGAUUGUAAACCACUUUAAGACGGAAGGAAACGCAUUUAGUUAAUACCCGGCGGUAAUGACGGUACCGUAAGAAUAAGCACCGGCUAACUACGUG